rnacentral:rRNA from 1 species
GAUGAACGCUGGCGGCGUGCUUAACACAUGCAAGUCGAACGGUGAAGCAGGAGCUUGCUCUUGUGGAUCAGUGGCGAACGGGUGAGUAACACGUGAGCAACCUGCCCCUGACUCUGGGAUAAGCGCUGGAAACGGCGUCUAAUACUGGAUAUGUGAUGUGACCGCAUGGUCUGCAUCUGGAAAGAAUUUCGGUUGGGGAUGGGCUCGCGGCCUAUCAGCUUGUUGGUGAGGUAAUGGCUCACCAAGGCGUCGACGGGUAGCCGGCCUGAGAGGUUGACCGGCCACACGGGGACUGGAACACGGCGCGAAGUCCUACGGGAGGCAGCAGUUGGGAAUAUUGCACAAUGGGCGGAAGCCUGAUGCAGCGACGCGUGGUGAGGGAUGAAGGUCUUCGGAUUGUAAACCUCUUUCAGUAGGGACGAAGCGAAAGUGACGGUACCGAAAGAAGAAGCACCGGCUAACGACGUGCCAGCCGCCGCCGUAA